AAUCAACGCUGGCGGCGUGCCUCAGACAUGCAAGUCGAACGAUUAAAGCUCUCUUCGGAGAGUGCAUAAAGUGGCGCACGGGUGAGUAACACGUAAGUAAUCUACCCUCGAGUGGGGAAUAACGUCCGGAAACGGACGCUAAUACCGCAUAGUGCAGCGGCAUCGCAAGAUGACAGUUGUUAAAGAUUUAUCGCUUGAAGAGGAGCUUGCGGCAGAUAGCUAGUUGGUAAGGUAAUGGCUUACCAAGGCUACGAUCUGUAACCGGUCUAAGAGGACGGUCGGUCACACUGACACUGAAUAACGGGUCAGACUCUACGGAGGCAGCAGUCGGGAAUUUUGGGCAAUGGGCGAAAGCCUGACCCAGCAACGCCGCGUGAAGG
rnacentral:rRNA from 1 species